rnacentral:tRNA from 1 species
UUCCUGAUAGCUUAAUUGGUAGAGCAUAUGGCUGUUAACCAUUGAAUUGUAGGUUCAAAUCCUACUCAGGAAGA